CUAAUGAGAUAGUUUGACUAUGUAUGUGCCAGUUUCUCUAAAUAUGAUCAGAGUUUCCUGUCUUCAGAGGUUGAUUCACGUGGAUGGGCCUGUGAUAUGAUGACCUGCUCCAUCAAGCUUCUCUUGGACUGACUGAUAUUUGGGCAGUUCUUUCUCACAGAAAGCAGAACACACAGAUGGGGAAGAAAAAGAUGGGUCUUGAUGAAGAAGCAGUUCCAUCUUGUGCUGAGUGACUAGAAAAAUUAAAAAGUUUUUCUUCUUCCACUGGAACAACAGUGUACUUCAAAAUGACAGAGAGCGAUACCAACAGUUUCCUUGAAGGAUGACAGGAUAGCAGUAAAGUGGCUAUGUUACACUGCAAGAUGCCUGGACACCUGGACACAAACACUAUCCUAAAGCUGACCUGCUACAGAGACAAUUACUGUUGCUACAAGAAGCUGAAGGAGCUGCAACAGUAAGAAAAAUGCUGAAAAAGCAGCAAGCAAAACUCGUCAUGUAGGGUCUGGUUCAUCCAUACGAAAGGCCAUUAACAAAGACUUUUCUUCUUCUAAGAGGAAGCCUUGAGAGGUCCAAGAUAUGGCGGGGCAGGACAAGAAAAAGCCAGUCAUCGUGGUUUAACUGUUUUGCUGCUUUGUAAAAAGAUAGAAUUUGCCCCAGGUGCGCAACUGUAUUUCAUAAGCUUUUAUGACACCACUGAAUGCAUUUCCCUAAUCGUAUUUAAAAAUCAUGCCCAUAUUCUCCGUUCAGGAGGUUAGAGCUGAAUUUUCUUUCAAUGAACAAGAAUUUCAGUGGAUGUAUUUCAAAACCAUUUUAAAAGAUGCCAACCUAUAUGUAUAACUAAACCAGAAAGUUAAAAAAAAUAUAUAUGAAAAAUCCCCCCUAGGCUUUGUAUCUAUGCCUGUUUUCUUUAAAUCUUAUACUGAUAUACCACUGAUAACAAAGAUCAUAUGGGUUAAAAGAUAUAUAUUACUUAUAGAAACACAGAACAUGCUCCACUCCUUAGGAAAACAGUUAAUUUCUAUAAAACUCAGUGUUCCUUAGAAGUAAUACAGAGAAAAUAAUGUAUGUAAUGGUUAUAAUUUUCUCCUUACACCUUCAUUCUCUAGGGUCUUAUAGGAAGGGCCAAAAUUUAGACUUAAUAGAACUCUUGCCUGGUGAUAGCCUUGUGCUGAAUUCCUUUACCAGCAAGCUCUUCAAAUUUCACAUUUAAGUUCCAUACUUGUGAAUAGAACUAGUAAUAUUAGUGGCUAGAAAUUCGGGGCCCAAAGUCAUAAAAUCAUUUGACAAUUGAAAGCUAUCAAUUAAAGAAGUUACAGAGGGUUCCCCCCCCGGUGUGCUGGGUUAGUCUUGAUCUGUCUUUUGUUAAUAUUCAUGAAAAAGCUUCUUCAUUGUGCUAAGCUGAAUAUUUUGUGCAGUACUCUCCUAAACACAGAUGUGGAUGUGACAGGCACAAAAGAGUACUGCCACCCUAGAUGCUAAAGAAAAGAAGAAAUUUGCUCAUGACUAAAAGCCUUUAUCUCUCUUUCAAAAGAAAUUGCAUAUUAAGCUUUCAAAUAGGCUCCAUCAAUACUUCAAUUUAAUUAGUGUAUUAAAUUGUCUAUCUCAAAAAGACAUAUAUUUCCCAUAGAAAAGGAUAAUUACAUUUUUUAAAUGUACUUUUCUGCUGGGCUUAUUUCCUUUUAACUAGUAAAAAUAAUCCAAUCUCAACCACUUAAUUUAUUCCAAGAGAGCAUAGGAAAAUAUGUUCACUGGACCACAACCAAGGUUAAUGAACUAAUGCAUCAGUCCAAGAUUCAGGUGAGGCAUUUUUUAGACAAGAGGCAUGGAAACUGCAUGUGACCGGAGUAAACUUGCGAGUUCUGUGGAUGCUGAUCUCAUCUGCCUAAUUCUUCUGAUACUGAUAUUCCUCAGGUACAGCAAGAAUAUAGAAAACAAAAUAGACCAUCUUUUGUGCAUUGAUGUAUACCUGUACAUCACUAAGGAAGCUGUUAUUGAGAGUAAUCCUUGCACACACUGUAGGCACAGAAUCUCCAUAGUGAUGGACAAAAAUAUCCUUGUAUGCUCCUGCUGCAUUGUUUUGCUGAGUAUGGGAUCCUAUACUGAGCUGUCACUCUUAAUGUGACAAAAUUCCCUGGGUAAAAAACUCAUGUUUAUAAUGCAAUCAGCAGUUUAAUGGAAACUGACAGUUCAAGAGAAAUUUGGGAGAUUUGUUAUUUUUGUUUUCUCAAUCAGCCUUUUCCAAAAUGAUGCUGUUUAAAAAAAUAUAUUCUGACUUGAACAAUAGAUGCUGCUCCAUCUAGUCUAGCUCACUAGCAAGAGACAGAGAUAUUGACUUUUUCACAGAAUCACAGAGUCAUGGAAUGACCCGGGUUGGAAGGGACUU